CAGCCGCCGCGGUAAUACGAAGGGGGCUAGCGUUGUUCGGAAUCACUGGGCGUAAAGCGCACGUAGGCGGAUACUUAAGUCAGGGGUGAAAUCCCGGGGCUCAACCUCGGAACUGCCUUUGAUACUGGGUAUCUUGAGUCCGGGAGAGGUUGGUGGAACUCCGAGUGUAGAGGUGAAAUUCGUAGAUAUUCGGAAGAACACCAGUGGCGAAGGUGGCCAACUGGCCCGGUACUGACGCUGAGGUGCGAAAGCGUGGGGAACAAACAGGAUUAGAUACCCCCGUAGUCCCUGUCUCUUAUAC
rnacentral:rRNA from 1 species